CCUACGGGAGGCAGCAGUGGGGAAUAUUGCACAAUGGGGGAAACCCUGAUGCAGCGACGCCGCGUGAGCGAUGAAGUAUUUCGGUAUGUAAAGCUCUAUCAGCAGGGAAGAAAAUGACGGUACCUGACUAAGAAGCCCCGGCUAACUACGUGCCAGCAGCCGCGGUAAUACGUAGGGGGCAAGCGUUAUCCGGAUUUACUGGGUGUAAAGGGAGCGUAGACGGCUGUGCAAGCCAGAUGUGAAAGCCGGGGGCACAACCCCGGGACUGCAUUGGGAACUGUGUGGCUGGAGUGUCGGAGAGGCAGGCGGAAUGCGGGGUGUAGCGGUGAAAGGCAGAGAUAUUAGGAGGAACACCGGGGGCGAAGGGGGCCUGCUGGAGGAUGAGUGACGUGGAGGCACGAAAGCGUGGGGAGCAAACAGGAUUAGAGACCCGAGUAGUC
rnacentral:rRNA from 1 species